rnacentral:rRNA from 1 species
GACGAACGCUGGCGGCGUGCUUAACACAUGCAAGUCGAACGGAAAGGCCCUGCUUUUGUGGGGUGCUCGAGUGGCGAACGGGUGAGUAACACGUGAGUAACCUGCCCUUGACUUUGUGAUAACUUCAGGAAACUGGGGCUAAUACCGGAUAGGAGCUCCUGCUGCAUGGUGGGGGUUGGAAAGUUUCGGCGGUUGGGGAUGGACUCGCGGCUUAUCAGCUUGUUGGUGGGGUAGUGGCUUACCAAGGCUUUGACGGGUAGCCGGCCUGAGAGGGUGACCGGCCACAUUGGGACUGAGAUACGGCCCAGACUCCUACGGGAGGCAGCAGUGGGGAAUAUUGCACAAUGGGCGGAAGCCUGAUGCAGCAACGCCGCGUGCGGGAUGACGGCCUUCGGGUUGUAAACCGCUUUAGCCUGUGACGAAGCGUGAGUGACGGUAACGGGUAAAGAAGCACCGGCUAACUACGUG